CGACCUGGCUUCACAACAAAAACAUGGCCACAUCAGUUGGAUUAUUCCGCAGCCCAACAUCAAUUUCAAUCGGUGAUAUUGUUUCUCAUGCAGUCGAAUAUCUGAGAGCUCAUUGCAACAAUGGAUUCCAAAAAUCCAAUCCUGAGAAACGCUUUACAGCGAUUAUGUCCCUCAUGUAAUAUUAUCGUGAACAUUAAUCAACAUGUCUGCAAGUGUGGCUAUAGGCUUUUUUAUGUCAAACGUAAAGCUCAGCCGGAAAGCCAGGCUCAGGCAAAUAUCAAGAGAUCAGAAAAGAAAAAACAUAUACCUGUUGUACAUGAUGAGUUGCAUAAAAGUGUGCAAGAUUUACAACACCAAAAGAAAUUGAAGGAGAUUGAAGAGGAGAUAACAAGGCUUCGAGCAAUUAUGAUUCCCAAAAUAACAACCCAAAAAGGCGGACAAUUAUGUACACUGGCACUUCGUCUAGAAAAAGCAGAGCUUUAGGCACACCAUCAAAUCCUUUCCCUUGCAGUCAUGAAGUAAUGAAGCCUCCAGUUUCUGUUGUAGACGUUAUACCCCAAAAUAUCAAUG